UUGUAGCCAAUUAAGCUGACCAAGUUCUCUUCCCUACAGGGAACCAGUGUAGAAUGAUUGUAAACAUCAACCUUUUUGGUAGUGUGUGCAGACUGUUUUCUAGUUGUUCUAAGGGACCUUGAAAACAAUU